UACGAAGGGGGCUAGCGUUGCUCGGAAUCACUGGGCGUAAAGCGCGCGUAGGCGGAUUUGCAAGUCGGGGGUGAAAGCCCGAGGCUCAACCUCGGAACUGCCUUCGAUACUGCAAAUCUCGAGUCCGAGAGAGGUGAGUGGAAUUCCUAGUGUAGAGGUGAAAUUCGUAGAUAUUAGGAAGAACACCAGUGGCGAAGGCGGCUCACUGGCUCGGUACUGACGCUGAGGCGCGAAAGCGUGGGGAGCAAACAGG
rnacentral:rRNA from 1 species